rnacentral:lncRNA from 1 species
UUAGUAGAUGCUGCAGCAGAAAUAUUUCCCCAGUUCCUGAUGCCUUCUUCAGUGAUAAUCAAAUCCUGUCACCAACACAGGGGACCCAUUAUGAACUGGAUGAUGUUGGUCCAUACCUGAAGACCCUGCUAGGGGAAGCAGCCUUUCAGCAUUCCUUUGAAGCCCUAGUGGACAGGGACGGGAUGGGGAGAGGAAACAGUAAAAGCAACAGCUGAGGAUCAGAUUCUAUUUACAUGACAUUUAAAAACCACAGGAAAAAACCUCCACUGCUCUUUGUUGUUGUUCAAAGAAUUUUGGAACUAUCAGGUUGUGAAAUACAUUUUGUAUAGGCUAAUAGUGCAUGGUUUGCCAU